UCCUGACAUUAGGUUUCAUUGUUAGAUGGUUACAUCGAUUAGUUUAAAAAAUUAUGCCUGUGCUAUCAGCUUAGGUUCAAACCUAUGGGAUCACACUCAAAAGAAGUUUCUAUAUAAUCAAAUAGCUGAUCAAUGAUUAAGAAUCGUUCAAUAAUUAUCAAUAUGAUUGAUGAUUAACCUGAUAUCAAAGUUGUAAUGAAUUAAUUUGCUAAUGGUUGGUGAAUUAAAGAAAAAUUGAUAAGUAAUUAGAUUGCUAAUUAAUCUCAAUUUAAUUGAGUAAUAU
rnacentral:lncRNA from 1 species